rnacentral:rRNA from 1 species
UUGGCUCAGGAUGAACGCUGGCGGCGUGCCUAACACAUGCAAGUCGAACGGAACUAUUUUGACAGAUUUCUUCGGAAUGAUGGAUUUUUAGUUUAGUGGCGGACGGGUGAGUAACGCGUGAGUAACCUGCCUCUAAGAGGGGAAUAACGUUCUGAAAAGAUCGCUAAUACCGCAUAACAUAUUGAAGCCGCAUGACUUUGAUAUCAAAGAUUUAUCGCUUAGAGAUGGACUCGCGUCCGAUUAGCUUGUUGGCGGGGUAACGGCCCACCAAGGCGACGAUCGGUAGCCGGACUGAGAGGUUGAACGGCCACAUUGGGACUGAGACACGGCCCAGACUCCUACGGGAGGCAGCAGUGGGGAAUA